UUCAACACCAAAUGGCAGUAAUUUUCUGCAUUUUGCCUGUUGUAGCAAUUUGAGAUGUCAUUUGGUACUGUGCAAUAUAGUUUUCCAAGAUGUUAUACCAUUUUCUGGCCGGUCCAUUGUAGCUUGGACAAAGUAACUGCUGAUGUUUUGUUCCAAAGCAUGUGUAUUCUUUACAUGAUGCAAUAAUAAUUAGUGUAUUCAGUUCAAAGGUGUAGGGAAACACAAAAGAAGACGAGAAGAUAAAGCAAGAGCAAUUACCUCCAACUCCUCUUUCAGGCCCUCAAGUUGAAAUUUGGCAUACACAAACCUCAUAUCAAGCACCUGUCUCUGGGAGUUAUACCUUGAAGAGCACCUCAAAGUUACCUUAUGUUGGAAAUUCCUCAGCCAUUCUGAAAUAGCCAUAGCUGGCUAAGUAGGAGAACAUGUAACCAAACCCAACAUAAUUUUUUGAUUUUGUCUCAUUAUUAAUUUAUCUCAUUCUUCCUGUCCUUUAUUCUUUUUCCAUCAUCUUAAUAGUGUUUUUGUAGAUA
rnacentral:lncRNA from 1 species